UACGUAGGGUGCAAGCGUUGUCCGGAAUUAUUGGGCGUAAAGAGCUCGUAGGCGGUUUGUUGCGUCGGAUGUGAAAACCCGGGGCUCAACCCCGGGCCUGCAUUCGAUACGGGCAGACUAGAGUUCGGUAGGGGAGUCUGGAAUUCCUGGUGUAGCGGUGAAAUGCGCAGAUAUCAGGAGGAACACCGGUGGCGAAGGCGGGACUCUGGGCCGAUACUGACGCUGAGGAGCGAAAGCGUGGGGAGCGAACAGG
rnacentral:rRNA from 1 species